rnacentral:tRNA from 1 species
CAAAAUAUAAUUUAAAAUAAAAUAUUAAUUUUGGAUAUUAAUAAUAUACUUAUUGUGUUAUUUUGA